GACGAACGCUGGCGGCGUGCUUAACACAUGCAAGUCGAACGGAAAGGCCCUGCUUUUGUGGGGUGCUCGAGUGGCGAACGGGUGAGUAACACGUGAGUAACCUGCCCUUGACUUUGGGAUAACUUCAGGAAACUGGGGCUAAUACCGGAUAGGAGCUCCUGCUGCAUGGUGGGGGUUGGAAAGUUUCGGCGGUUGGGGAUGGACUCGCGGCUUAUCAGCUUGUUGGUGGGGUAGUGGCUUACCAAGGCUUUGACGGGUAGCCGGCCUGAGAGGGUGACCGGCCACAUUGGGACUGAGAUACGGCCCAGACUCCUACGGGAGGCAGCAGUGGGGAAUAUUGCACAAUGGGCGGAAGCCCGAUGCAGCAACGCCGCGUGCGGGAUGAAGGCCUUCGGGUUGUAAACCGCUUUCGCCUGUGACGAAGCGUGAGUGACGGUAAUGGGUAAAGAAGCACCGGCUAACUACGUG
rnacentral:rRNA from 1 species